AAACUACAGUUAAAAAAAAAAAAAACCACAGCGAUGAAAAUAAGUGAGAGUAGAACCUGCCGGCUUCACUUCCUGGAGGCUUUCUGUUGGGUCUUGAAACUAGGAAUCUUUGCGGGUCAUCCUUGAACUGUUCCAGGAGCUGCGAAUACGGCCACGAGCAAAUGUAGAAUCCCUGCCCACGUGAAACGUGUGUUCCGGUUGGAGACGACAGGCCGUAUAAACCACCUGCUUGGACUCUUGUGUACUCCACUGUUGUCUGCACCCUGACAUCUGCUGCGGUCUCGUUUGCUCUGAUUGCUCUCUCAGUUCCCUGCCAGGUAGACUUCUUCCCCAGCCCUGGCCUAUACAGCCCUUACUCAGCUGCAAUUCUGUCUGCUGCCGGAGAGCAAACCGCUUCUCUCAUUGCAUCUCGAAUCAAAGUGUCUGCCUAUCUCCUCUAGGCCUUAAUCAAGAUCAGCCAUUUAUUUCCAAAGGCCAGAAGCUUCCACAAUGAAGGCGACUUGCAUGUUCUCUUCUUGCAGAACAUUAAGGAGGAGGCUUGAUGGAAGCCAAGCGAUUCUGCUAUCCCAUUGUGUGGUUCUGUUAUCAUAUUGCUUUUCUUUUUAAGCUUCUUAGCUAUUAUGCCAAAUAUGAAAGUAACUCUGA